CUCUUUCCUGAUCCCAGGUGUGGAUUGCUUCAGAGGACACAUGGAUACGGAGCUUGUGCACAGCAGUGAGAGGUGCUACAGAAAGGAAAUCUGAGUGGAGAGGGCUGGAUUUCUUGCAUUGCACAGAAGAACAAGUACAUAGCCCCUGAACCCAACAUGCUAACAUGCUGUAGGCAGUGUUGAGAAGCCAGCUAUUGCCAUGUGUCAUGCCAUCUGGUUUUUACUUGUUCUCACAGUGAAUUCAGAGGGAGUCACCACUUUGGCUGAUGAGAUGUGACCUGUUUUAAUCACUGCUGUCCACUGUCAGGUGAAAGUUCUGAAGCGCAGCUAUGAGAUGAAUAGCAAUGACUGCAGUUUGGACACAGCCCUGCAAAAUCUGCCUGCCGGAGAUGAGACGAGCAGAGGUUGUCCUGAUGACUUAGCAGCAAGUUUGCAUCCUUAUGGUUUUCUCCACUGAUGCUUCCUGGGACUUACACAUAAAAAAAGAAUGUGAGCAAAAGGUGCAGGCAAAGAUGAGAAAGGAGGCAGAAUUCAGCCCCCUGUCGUGCUUAACUUCAGAGGCCAUCCCAGGAGCCAACACUGCAGUCUGAGCUCUGCUGGGGUUUUGCAAGGACACCACUUCUUUGCACUCUUUCUCUUCUUUUUAUCUGAUGAUGAACACAUUUGAAAUGCACUUUUAAUUCAGGGAAAUGAAAUGCCUACCUGCUUUUCAUUCAAAUUCUUUAUUGUUGUUUUAUUCUUCUUUAAAUACAAGUUUCUGUGGUGUUUCUUUUGUGUUUGAUGAUUGCCAACACCUUGAUCUGCGUUGAACUUUCAUGUCUGUGCUCUGGCAAUAUUAUCCUCUCUCUUUUUUCACUUUCUGGAAUAUGUGGGCUAUUAAUAUGUGAAUUAUAUGAACUGCUUUUUUAUCUUUCUUCUUUGUGAUACUAUUGCAGGGCUGUAUAGAUAUAAAAACAUAAUGUGAUUAAUUGCUUUGCUCUC